AGAAUCUGACACUAAAUGAAGAUGAUCGAUGAAAAACAAAUGAAUGAUGCCACACAACGUUAUUCGAGAUAAGAAAAUUUUUUCAAUCAGUUUCAAGAAGAAUUGUCAUCUGACCGCCCGCUGGCCUCACCUCGUUUUAGCAAUCUUUCCUCCAAAACAGCCUCCGAACACUCAAAGAACACCACUUUGUUACAUUCUGCAAUCUUCAAAAUAUUUAUCUUUUCGAAAAUGGCAUUCUUUUGAAAAAAGUAAUCAAAAGUGCUCGGGUGGGAAAAAAAUCCAGACAGAUUUAUCCACACGGAAGUGCGUACCUUCAAUAUAAAUCUGACCAACGCCAAGCCAAUCCAUUAUAAAGUAAAUGGUUUGAACCCGGGAGUAUCGUUACAUGUUUGUAAAUGUAGAUAGUCCAGGUUGGUACAAGCAAGUCCAGAUCGUCCAACCCAUUAUGUUCAAUACAACGCAACAUCGACUAAUAAUAAUAAAUAAAAAGUACCUCGCUUUCAAA